CUUACGGGAGGCAGCAGUGGGGAAUAUUGCACAAUGGGGGAAACCCUGAUGCAGCGACGCCGCGUGAGCGAUGAAGUAUUUCGGUAUGUAAAGCUCUAUCAGCAGGGAAGAAAAUGACGGUACCUGACUAAGAAGCCCCGGCUAACUACGUGCCAGCAGCCGCGGUAAUACGUAGGGGGCAAGCGUUAUCCGGAUUUACCGGGUGUAAAGGGAGCGUAGACGGCCGUUCAAGCCAGAUGUGAAAGCCCGGGGCUCAACCCCGGGACUGCAUUUGGAACUGUGCGGCUAGCGUGUCGGAGAGGCAG
rnacentral:rRNA from 1 species